rnacentral:rRNA from 1 species
UACAGAGGUCCCAAGCGUUGUUCGGAUUCAUUGGGCGUAAAGGGUGCGUAGGCGGCGCGGUAAGUCGGGUGUGAAAUCUCGGGGCUUAACUCCGAAACUGCAUUCGAUACUGCCGUGCUUGAGGACUGGAGAGGAGACUGGAAUUUACGGUGUAGCGGUGAAAUGUGUAGAUAUCGUAAGGAAGACCAGUGGCGAAGGCGGGUCUCUGGACAGUUCCUGACGCUGAGGCACGAAGGUCAGGGGAGCAAACGGG